CGCAGCCGCGGUAAUUCCAGCUCCAAUAGCGUAUAUUAAAGUUGUUGCAGUUAAAAAGCUCGUAGUUGAAUUUCGGGGUUAGUAGGUUGGUCAUGCCUCUGGUAUGUACUGGUCUCACUGAUUCCUCCUUCCUGAUGAACCUUAAUGCCAUUAAUUUGGUGUUUUGGGGAAUUUGGACUGUUACUUUGAAAAAAUUAGAGUGUUUAAAGCAAGCUAACGCUUGAAUACAUUAGCAUGGAAUAAUGAAAUAGGACGUUCGAUCCUAUUUUGUUGGUUUCUAGGAUUGACGUAAUGAUUAAUAGGGAUAGUUGGGGGCAUUAGUAUUCAAUUGUCAGAGGUGAAAUUCUUGGAUUUAUUGAAGACUAACUACUGCGAAAGCAUUUGCCA
rnacentral:rRNA from 1 species